rnacentral:rRNA from 1 species
GAUGAACGCUGGCGGCGUGCUUAACACAUGCAAGUCGAACGGAAAGGCCCAAGCUUGCUUGGGUACUCGAGUGGCGAACGGGUGAGUAACACGUGGGUGAUCUGCCCUGCACUUCGGGAUAAGCCUGGGAAACUGGGUCUAAUACCGGAUAGGACCACAUUUUGGAUGGUGUGGUGGAAAGUUUUUCGGUGUGGGAUGAGCUCGCGGCCUAUCAGCUUGUUGGUGGGGUAAUGGCCUACCAAGGCGUCGACGGGUAGCCGGCCUGAGAGGGUGUACGGCCACAUUGGGACUGAGAUACGGCCCAGACUCCUACGGGAGGCAGCAGUGGGGAAUAUUGCACAAUGGGCGCAAGCCUGAUGCAGCGGCGCCGCGUGGGGGAUGACGGCCUUCGGGUUGUAAACUCCUUUCGCUAGGGACGAAGCGCAAGUGACGGUACCUGGAGAAGAAGCACCGGCUAACUACGUG